CGGGGCCCGCACAAGCGGUGGAGCAUGUGGUUUAAUUCGAUGCAACGCGAAGAACCUUACCUACCCUUGACAUGUCCGGAACUUGCCAGAGAUGGCUUGGUGCCCGAAAGGGAAUCGGAACACAGGUGCUGCAUGGCUGUCGUCAGCUCGUGUCGUGAGAUGUUGGGUUAAGUCCCGCAACGAGCGCAACCCUUAUCAUUAGUUGCUACGCAAGGGCACUCUAAUGAGACUGCCGGUGACAAACCGGAGGAAGGUGGGGAUGACGUCAAGUCCUCAUGGCCCUUAUGGGUAGGGCUUCACACGUCAUACAAUGGUCGGUACAGAGGGUUGCCAAGCCGCGAGGCGGAGCCAAUCCCACAAAGCCGAUCGUAGUCCGGAUUGUUCUCUGCAACUCGAGAGCAUGAAGUCGGAAUCGCUAGUAAUCGCAGGUCAGCAUACUGCGGUGAAUACGUUCCCGGGUCUU
rnacentral:rRNA from 1 species